UGGAGUCCAGCUGCCUGCCGUAAAUUUUCGCUCCAUCUCUGUCCCCCAGUGUGACCUUGGGCAUGUAGUGCUGCUCCCAGUGCCCCAGUUUCCUGCUCUGGGGAGUGAGGGUGACAGUGGUCCCACCCGCUGUAUGUGUGAGGGUUCGGCACCUGUCCGGACCCUAGGAAAGGCUUAGGAAACUAAGCCUUUUUUACUCCGGUUUUACGGGAAAGGAAACAGGCUCAAGACGUUUUAGUAACUUGCCCAGGGUCACCUAGUCAGCAAGUGGUAGGGCCCAGGCCUGGCCAACACACCCCCUACCCCCGCUACCAGCACAUUCUAGAAGGUUCUGCCUCAGCUUAAAUGGGGUGCAUGCUGUGAGGGCUAUCCCAGGUUCUUCCAGCCCAGCUUAUCUUUCCCUCCUCUGGGAGUCCCCUCACCCAUGUCUGGCACUCUCUCCCUAAUACCCUCUGGGGGCAGCUAAGGGCCUGAGUCCCUCUGGGCAUGAGCCCCUGACUCAAGCCCAUCAGACAGAAAUAAGGAGCUCAGGGAGCACCAGCUUCAUGGAUAAACGAUUGAAGGAAUGAAAGUCCGGCUCUGUCUUUCAGGUCUGAUCUCAGAGCUGAAGCUGGCUGUGCCCUGGGGCCACAUCGCAGCCAAAGCCUGGGGCACCCUGAAGGGCUCCCCAGUUCUCUGCCUGCACGGCUGGUUGGACAAUGCCAACUCCUUCGACACACUCAUCCCUCUUCUCCCGCAAGACUUGCAUUACGUUGCCAUGGAUUUUGGGGGUCAUGGGCUCUCAUCCCAUUACAGCCCAGGUGUCCCAUAUUACUUCCAGAACUUUGUGAAUGAGAUCCGAAGGGUUGUGGCAGCCUUGAAAUGGAAUCGAUUCUCCAUCAUGGGCCACAGCUUCGGUGGCGCCGUGGCUGGGAUGUUUUCCUGUACCUUCCCUGAGAUGGUAGAUAAACUCAUCUUGCUGGACGUGUCACCAUUUGCCUUGGACUUUCAUGUGAGAAGCUGGGCUUUCAUGCAUGCGGUCAGUGGGGAAGACCUGGGCCCCGGCCAGUCCUCUCAGCCCUGUCUCCUUUGGUGGACAUUAGGGAAGCAGGAGGAGAUGGCAGAGGGGGGAAAGGGAGUCGGGGACCUGCCCCCCAACAGAGGACAGCCUUGUGCUGCUUAUACCCCUAGGAGUGGUCAGGAGAACGGGUGUGGGGGACCCCUUGGAAACUGUGUGUGUGGCCUGGGAUCUGCAGAAUGCCAGGCUGGUCGUGCAGUGGCAGGUGGUGGAAGAGGGCAGGAGCCGUGGGUGCAGGACACUCUAGGGCACACCACUGCAGUCACACCCAGUCAAAUGCUUUUGCACUGCGUACAUGUUGCACAGCCACACAUGACAGCCCUAAGUGUGGACUGAUGGGACAAGUACUGACCCCUCUGGCCACCACUACCAGUCAUCAGUACUGUCCCUGUACCCGAGUCCUGGCUUGGUUGUUUACCUGCUGGGUGACCCUUGGCAAGUUACUUUGCCUCUCUGGGCCUUAGUUCCCUCACCUGUCAAAUGCGGUUGGACUCAAUGACCUGGCCAACUCUGACAUCCUGUCAUUUUCUUGCCAAGGGCUCAGUCUCUUGGUUGUGACACAACUCUCAUCAGUUUCAGUUUUCUUGUCCAUAGAAUGACCACAGAUCCCAUAAGAGCAAGAAUGACGUCUCUCUCUUUGUCACCACAUCCCCAGUCCUGGCACCUAGUAAGGGCUCAGGCAGUGUUCCUUCCAUGAGCUCAGCUAGCUCAGGGGCCAUGGUAAGGAUCCAAUUCACAGAUGGCAGGCAGCGGACACUCCCUUCUUUGUGUGUUUCACCCACUGAAUUAACAAGCGCAAUGCCCCUGGGGGCUUCCUCCUGGGAAGUGGAGAAUUUGCUGACCUACAAGCGGAGAGCCAUAGAGCACAUGCUGCAGGUAGAGGCCUCCCAGAAGCCCUUGCACG